GCGCUUGUAGCUCAACUGAAUAGAGCACUUGACUACGGAUCAAGAGGUUCGGGGUUUGAAUCCCUGCAAGCGCA
rnacentral:tRNA from 1 species